AAUCAUACUCGGCGGGGGGAGUCUUGAUCCUGAAAGUGGUUUCUCCUGGGUGAGGCUUAUCCAUUCCAUUCCUGUGCUGACCUCUGCAAAUUCCCUAAGUAUGGAAAACUUGGUUGCAUAAUUUGCUGAAGACGGGAGCUGCAUUUAUAUUUUUUGG